CCUACGGGCGGCAGCAGUGAGGAAUAUUGGUCAAUGGGCGCGAGCCUGAACCAGCCAAGUAGCGUGAAGGAUGACUGCCCUACGGGUUGUAAACUUCUUUUAUAAAGGAAUAAAGUGAGGCACGUGUGCCUUUUUGUAUGUACUUUAUGAAUAAGGAUCGGCUAACUCCGUGCCAGCAGCCGCGGUAAUAAGGAGGAUCCGAGCGUUAUCCGGAUUUAUUGGGUUUAAAGGGAGCGUAGAUGGGAUGUUAAGUCAGUUGUGAAAGUUUGCGGCUCAACCGGAGAAUUGCAAUUGAUACUGGCAGCCUUGAGUACAGUAGAGGUAGGCGGAAUGCGUGGUGUAGCGGUGAAAUGCUUAGAUAUCACGAAGAACUCCGAUUGCGAAGGCAGCUUACUAAACUGCCACUGACAUUGAUGCUCGAAAGUGUGGGUAUCAAACAGGAUUAGAUACCCUUGUAGUC
rnacentral:rRNA from 1 species